rnacentral:misc_RNA from 1 species
GAAAUGCGAUAAUUAACGUGAAUUGCAGAAUUCAGUGAAUCAUCGAGUCUUUGAACGCACAUUGCGCCCCCUGGUAUUCCGGGGGGCAUGCCUGUCCGAGCGUCAUUGCUGCCCUCAAGCACGGCUUGUGUGUUGGGCUUCCGUCCCUGGCAACGGGGACGGGCCCAAAAGGCAGUGGCGGCACCAUGUCUGGUCCUCGAGCGUAUGGGGCUUUGUCACCCGCUCCCGUAGGUCCAGCUGGCAGCUAGCCUCGCAACCAAUCUUUUUAACCAGGUUGACCUCGGAUCAGGUAGGGAUACCCGCUGAACUUAAGC